rnacentral:rRNA from 1 species
UACAGAGGUCCCGAGCGUUGUUCGGAUUCACUGGGCGUAAAGGGUGCGUAGGUGGCUUUGCAAGUCUGAUGUGAAAUCUCCGGGCUUAACCCGGAAAUGGCAUUAGAAACUGUGAGGCUUGAGGCUUGGAGGGGGAACUGGAAUUCUCGGUGUAGCAGUGAAAUGCGUAGAGAUCGAGAGGAACACCAGCGGCGAAGGCGGCGACCUGGGUAGAUACUGACGCUGAGGUGCGAAAGCGUGGGGAGCAAACAGG